UACGAAGGGGGCUAGCGUUGCUCGGAAUCACUGGGCGUAAAGGGUGCGUAGGCGGGUCUUUUAAGUCAGGGGUGAAAUCCUGGAGCUCAACUCCAGAACUGCCUUUGAUACUGAAGAUCUUGAGUCCGGGAGAGGUGAGUGGAACUGCGAGUGUAGAGGUGAAAUUCGUAGAUAUUCGCAAGAACACCAGUGGCGAAGGCGGCUCACUGGCCCGGUACUGACGCUGAGGUGCGAAAGCGUGGGGAGCAAACAGG
rnacentral:rRNA from 1 species